rnacentral:rRNA from 1 species
CCUACGGGAGGCAGCAGUGAGGAAUAUUGGUCAAUGGGCGAGAGCCUGAACCAGCCAAGUCGCGUGAGGGAAGACGGUCCUAUGGAUUGUAAACCUCUUUUGCCGGGGAGCAAAAAGCGGUACGCGUACCGCAUCGAGAGUACCCGGAGAAAAAGCAUCGGCUAACUCCGUGCCAGCAGCCGCGGUAAUACGGAGGAUGCGAGCGUUAUCCGGAUUUAUUGGGUUUAAAGGGUGCGCAGGCGGCGAGUUAAGUCAGCGGUAAAAUUUCGGGGCUCAACCCCGACAAGCCGUUGAAACUGGCGUGCUAGAGUGGGCGAGAAGUAUGCGGAAGGCGUGGUGUAGCGGUGAAAUGCAUAGAUAUCACGCAGAACUCCGAUUGCGAAGGCAGCAUACCGGCGCCCAACUGACGCUCAGGCACGAAAGCGUGGGUAUCGAACAGGAUUAGAUACCCGGGUAGUC